rnacentral:rRNA from 1 species
GCUGAAGUAGGUCCCAAGGGUAUGGCUGUUCGCCAUUUAAAGUGGUACGCGAGCUGGGUUUAGAACGUCGUGAGACAGUUCGGUCCCUAUCUGCCGUGGGCGCUGGAGAAUUGAGGGGGGCUGCUCCUAGUACGAGAGGACCGGAGUGGACGCAUCACUGGUGUUCGGGUUGUCAUGCCAAUGGCACUGCCCGGUAGCUAAAUGCGGAAGAGAUAAGUGCUGAAAGCAUCUAAGCACGAAACUUGCCCCGAGAUGAGUUCUCCCUGAGACUUUAAGUCUCCUGAAGGAACGUUAAAGACUAUGACGUUGAUAGGUCGGGUGUGUAAGCGCAGCGAUGCGUUGAGCUAACCGAUACUAAUGAACCGUGAGGCUUAACCUU